rnacentral:rRNA from 1 species
AUGCACGCUGGCGGCGUGCCUCAUACCUGCAAGUCGAGCGAACGGACGAGAAGCUUGCUUUUCUGAUGUUAGCGGCGGACGGGUGAGUAACACGUGGAUAACCUACCUAUAAGACUGGGAUAACUUCGGGAAACCGGAGCUAAUACCGGAUAAUAUUUUGAACCGCAUGGUUCAAAAGUGAAAGACGGUCUUGCUGUCACUUAUAGAUGGAUCCGCGCUGCAUUAGCUAGUUGGUAAGGUAACGGCUUACCAAGGCAACGAUGCAUAGCCGACCUGAGAGGGUGAUCGGCCACACUGGAACUGAGACACGGUCCAGACUCCUACGGGAGGCAGCAGUAGGGAAUCUUCCGCAAUGGGCGAAAGCCUGACGGAGCAACGCCGCGUGAGUGAUGAAGGUCUUCGGAUCGUAAAACUCUGUUAUUAGGGAAGAACAUAUGUGUAAGUAACUGUGCACAUCUUGACGGUACCUAAUCAGAAAGCCACGGCUAACUACGUG